GCUUACGUCCAUACCACCUUAGGCACGCCCGAUCUCGUCUGAUCUCGGAAGCUAAGCAGGGUCGGGCCUGGUUAGUACUUGGAUGGGUGACCGCCUGGGAAUACCAGGUGCUGUAAGCA
ensembl:rRNA 5S_rRNA 5S ribosomal RNA